rnacentral:rRNA from 2 species
UGCCAGUGAUAAACUGGAGGAAGGUGGGGAUGACGUCAAGUCAUCAUGGCCCUUACGACCAGGGCUACACACGUGCUACAAUGGCAUAUACAAAGAGAAGCGACCUCGCGAGAGCAAGCGGACCUCAUAAAGUAUGUCGUAGUCCGGAUUGGAGUCUGCAACUCGACUCCAUGAAGUCGGAAUCGCUAGUAAUCGUAGAUCAGAAUGCUACGGUGAAUACGUUCCCGGGCCUUGUACACACCGCCCGUCACACCAUGGGAGUGGGUUGCAAAAGAAGUAGGUAGCUUAACCUUCGGGAGGGCGCUUACCACUUUGUGAUUCAUGACUGGGGUGAAGUCGUAACAAGGUAACCGUAGGGGAACCUGCGGUUGGAUCACC